rnacentral:rRNA from 1 species
GACGAACGCUGGCGGCGUGCUUAACACAUGCAAGUCGAGCGGUAAGGCCCUUUCGGGGGGUACACCGAGCGGCGAACGGGUGAGUAACACGUGGGUGACCUGCCCUCAGCUCUGGGAUAAGCCUGGGAAACCGGGUCUAAUACUGGAUAUGACUCCAUGACGCAUGUUGUGGGGUGGAAAGCCUUGUGCGGCUGAGGAUGGGCCCGCGGCCUAUCAGCUUGUUGGUGGGGUGA